rnacentral:snRNA from 1 species
GUAUACAAUAAAUGCUUCGGUAGUACAUAUACUAAAACUGGAAAGAUACAGAGAAGAUUAGCAUUGCCCCUGCGCAAGGAUGUCACGUAUACGUACACGUAUAGUUGUUAUAU